GGGCCCGCACAAGCGGCGGAGCAUGCGGAUUAAUUCGAUGCAACGCGAAGAACCUUACCAAGGCUUGACAUACACUGAACCGGUCUGGAAACAGUCCUUCCCCUUUUGGGGUUGGUGUACAGGUGGUGCAUGGUUGUCGUCAGCUCGUGUCGUGAGAUGUUGGGUUAAGUCCCGCAACGAGCGCAACCCUCGUUCUAUGUUGCCAGCACGUGAUGGUGGGAACUCAUAGGAGACUGCCGGGGUCAACUCGGAGGAAGGUGGGGAUGACGUCAAAUCAUCAUGCCCUUUAUGUCUUGGGCUUCACGCAUGCUACAAUGGCUGGUACAGAGGGCUGCAAUACCGCAAGGUGGAGCGAA
rnacentral:rRNA from 1 species